GCCAGACUCCUACGGGAGGCAGCAGUGGGGAAUAUUGGGCAAUGGGCGCAAGCCUGACCCAGCAACGCCGCGUGAAGGAAGAAGGCUUUCGGGUUGUAAACUUCUUUUGUCAGGGACGAAGCAAGUGACGGUACCUGACGAAUAAGCCACGGCUAACUACGUGCCAGCAGCCGCGGUAAUACGUAGGUGGCAAGCGUUAUCCGGAUUUAUUGGGUGUAAAGGGCGUGUAGGCGGGAAGGCAAGUCAGAUGUGAAAACGAUGGGCUCAACCCAUAGCCUGCAUUUGAAACUGUAUUUCUUGAGUGCUGGAGAGGCAAUCGGAAUUCCGUGUGUAGCGGUGAAAUGCGUAGAUAUACGGAGGAACCCCAGUGGCGAAGGCGGAUUGCUGGACAGUAACUGACGCUGAGGCGCGAAAGCGUGGGGAGCAAACAGGAUUAGAUACCCGUGUA
rnacentral:rRNA from 1 species